rnacentral:ncRNA from 1 species
ACAAAUUCAUUGACGAGAAAGAGUAAGCUAAUCCCCUUGUUCCCCAGAGAGUUGGCCCUAGUGCUGAAAGCCAACGUUCAAGACUUAGCCGAAAAUCCUCUCCGAGAAGGAAAGCUGAAGCAUUUGGAGUAAGCUGACCCGGAAUCCCACCGUUACAAGGGACGCGUAUGAUGGUACGUAGUAGAGGUGCCGAAAUGACAUGCUUGCAUGAAGAUUUCGGAACAAGGGUGGUAUCGCGAGAUCAAAUCUCGUCCCUUAG